ACUCACAGCACCAACCAGCUGAUCUUCUAACGGCUGAGCUCUGCAUUCAGUGUCGGUUUGGUUAGGACGUCGCCCCUUACAUUUAAAGAAUAGUUUGUCCUACAGGUGCUGCAAGUCACCAAAGAACACAAAGGAGUGGAAACCAGGUGAAAUAAACGCUGACAUGGCGCCGACACUGUAUGAUGUAAAACCAGAGAUCGGGGAUUUGAUUGAGAUCUACAGGGGAACCUAUCAGCACUGGGCUGUGUAUGUGGGCGAUGGCUUCAUUGUCCACUUGGCACCACCCUGUGAGUCACACACACACACACACACACAC